UAUUGAGUAAUGAUGAGGCUUUUAUGUGGACUAGAGUUUCUGAUCUCCGGCCAUUCUUAUGUGUUGGAGAUUGAAGACUAACCCUUGGCUGUCUGAUCUCAAUC